AGAGUUUGAUCAUGGCUCAGAUUGAACGCUGGCGGCAGGCCUAACACAUGCAAGUCGAACGGUAACAGGAAGCAGCUUGCUGCUUUGCUGACGAGUGGCGGACGGGUGAGUAAUGUCUGGGAAACUGCCUGAUGGAGGGGGAUAACUACUGGAAACGGUGGCUAAUACCGCAUAACGUCGCAAGACCAAAGAGGGGGACCUUCGGGCCUCUUGCCAUCAGAUGUGCCCAGAUGGGAUUAGCUUGUUGGUGAGGUAACGGCUCACCAAGGCGACGAUCCCUAGCUGGUCUGAGAGGAUGACCAGCCACACUGGAACUGAGACACGGUCCAGACUCCUACGGGAGGCAGCAGUGGGGAAUAUUGCACAAUGGGCGCAAGCCUGAUGCAGCCAUGCCGCGUGUAUGAAGAAGGCCUUCGGGUUGUAAAGUACUUUCAGCGGGGAGGAAGGUGUUGUGGUUAAUAACCACAGCAAUUGACGUUACCCGCAGAAGAAGCACCGGCUAACUCCGUGCCAGCAGCCGCGGUAAUACGGAGGGUGCAAGCGUUAAUCGGAAUUACUGGGCGUAAAGCGCACGCAGGCGGUCUGUCAAGUCGGAUGUGAAAUCCCCGGGCUCAACCUGGGAACUGCAUUCGAAACUGGCAGGCUUGAGUCUUGUAGAGGGGGGUAGAAUUCCAGGUGUAGCGGUGAAAUGCGUAGAGAUCUGGAGGAAUACCGGUGGCGAAGGCGGCCCCCUGGACAAAGACUGACGCUCAGGUGCGAAAGCGUGGGGAGCAAACAGGAUUAGAUACCCUGGUAGUCCACGCCGUAAACGAUGUCUACUUGGAGGUUGUGCCCUUGAGGCGUGGCUUCCGGAGCUAACGCGUUAAGUAGACCGCCUGGGGAGUACGGCCGCAAGGUUAAAACUCAAAUGAAUUGACGGGGGCCCGCACAAGCGGUGGAGCAUGUGGUUUAAUUCGAUGCAACGCGAAGAACCUUACCUGGUCUUGACAUCCACGGAAGAAUCCAGAGAUGGAUUUGUGCCUUCGGGAACCGUGAGACAGGUGCUGCAUGGCUGUCGUCAGCUCGUGUUGUGAAAUGUUGGGUUAAGUCCCGCAACGAGCGCAACCCUUAUCCUUUGUUGCCAGCGGUCCGGCCGGGAACUCAAAGGAGACUGCCAGUGAUAAACUGGAGGAAGGUGGGGAUGACGUCAAGUCAUCAUGGCCCUUACGACCAGGGCUACACACGUGCUACAAUGGCGCAUACAAAGAGAAGCGACCUCGCGAGAGCAAGCGGACCUCAUAAAGUGCGUCGUAGUCCGGAUUGGAGUCUGCAACUCGACUCCAUGAAGUCGGAAUCGCUAGUAAUCGUGGAUCAGAAUGCCACGGUGAAUACGUUCCCGGGCCUUGUACACACCGCCCGUCACACCAUGGGAGUGGGUUGCAAAAGAAGUAGGUAGCUUAACCUUCGGGAGGGCGCUUACCACUUUGUGAUUCAUGACUGGGGUGAAGUCGUAACAAGGUAACCGUAGGGGAACCUGCGGUUGGAUCACCU
rnacentral:rRNA from 1 species